rnacentral:lncRNA from 1 species
AUGUCCCCCAAGGACACCGCAUCCCAAAGGACACCACGUCCCCACUGUCCCCAAGGGCUCCAGGUCCCCAAAUGUCCCACAAGGACACCACAUCCCAAAGGACACCACGUCCCCAAUGUCCCCAAGGGCUCUGUGUCCCCAAGGACACCUUGUGCCCCAUGGACACCUCGUCCCCAAGGGCUCCGUGUCCCCAAAUGUCCCCAAGGACACCGCAUCCCAAAGGACACCACGUCCCCGAUGUCCCCAAGGGCUCCAUGUACCCAAAUGGCCCCCAAGGACACCACAUCCCAAAGGACACCUCGUCCCCGAUGUCCCCAAGGGCUCCGUGUCCCCAAAGGUCCCCAAGGACACCUUGUGCCCCAGGGACACCACGUCCCCCAAGGACACCACGUCCCUGAUGUCCCCAAGGGCUCCGUGUCCCCAAAUGUCCCACAAAGACACCACAUCCCAAAGGACACCACGUCCCCGAUGUCCCCAAGGGCUCCAGGUCCCCAAAGGUCCCCAAGGACACCACAUCCCAAAGGACACCACGUCCCCACUGUCCCCAAGGGCUCUGUGUCCCCAAAGGUCCCCAUGGACACCACAUCCCCAAAGGACACCAUGUCCCCAAUGUCCCCACGGGCUCCGUGUCCCCAAGGACAUCUUGUGCCCCAAGGACACCACGUCCCCAGUGUCCCCAAGGGUUCCGUGUCCCCAAAGGUCCCACAAGGACAGCUUGUGCCCCAGGGACACCACGUCCCCCAAGGACACCACAUCCCUGAUGUCCCCAAGGGCUCCAUGUCCCCACAUGUCCCCCAAGGACACCUUGUGCCCUAUGGACACCUCGUCCCCAGUGUCCCCAAGGACUCUGUGUCCCCAAAGGUCCCCCAAGGACACCACAUCCCCAAGGACACCACAUCCCCAUUGUCCCCAAGGGCUCCAUGUCCCCAAAUGUGGUUGGAACAGGAUGGGAUGGGGUGGGAAUGGAAUGGGACAGGAUGGGAUUGGAUGGGAUGGGAUGCAAUGGAAUGGGAUGGAACAGGAUGGGAUUGGAUGAGGUGGGAUGGGAUGGGAUGGGAUGGAACAGGAAGGGAUGGGAUGGGAUGGGAUGGGAUGGGAUGGGAUGGGAUGGGAUGGGAUGGGAUGGGA